rnacentral:SRP_RNA from 1 species
UCUACCGUGCUAGACGGGGAGGUUGCGGUGCCCUGUAACCUGCAAUCCGCAAUAGCCAGGGUGUGAAUUCCUAUCCUAGGUUUUCUUAUGUGAGGCUGCCGUUGAUGGCGGCGGUGUUGAGGAGCGGGUCCUGUGCAACGCGAACCCAUGAACCUGGUCAGGUCCGGAAGGAAGCAGCCAUAAGUGGAUCAUCGCGUGUGCCGCAGGGUAGCCUGCUCUGAGCUGCUACCAUAAGUAACGCUCGGAUAAGGAUUAUCGAAGAUAGGUGCACGGUA